rnacentral:rRNA from 1 species
UAGGGAAUCUUCCACAAUGGGAUGAAAGUCUGAUGGAGCAACGCCGCGUGAGUGAAGAAGGUUUUCGGAUCGUAAAGCUCUGUUGUUGGUGAAGAAGGAUAGAGGCAGUAACUGGUCUUUAUUGACGGUAAUCAACCAGAAAGUCACGGCUAACUACGUCCCAG